UACAGAGGUCUCAAGCGUUGUUCGGAUUCAUUGGGCGUAAGGGUGCGUAGGUGGCGCGGUAAGUCGGGUGUGAAAUCUCGGAGCUUAACUCCGAAACUGCAUUCGAUACUGCCGUGCUUGAGGACUGGAGAGGAGACUGGAAUUUACGGUGUAGCGGUGAAAUGCGUAGAUAUCGUAAGGAAGACCAGUGGCGAAGGCGGGAUCUCUGGACAGUUCCUGA
rnacentral:rRNA from 1 species